UCGCCUGCUGUUAGUUCCAAUCCCGUGCGGUGUUCCCCCUGGAUCCAGCCAAGAACCCACCCGUUCCUCUGCCAUUGUGAGUUGGUAGAUCGAGUGACUGGAGCAAUGGCUGUUCGGAGAGGAGAUGGAUAUCACUGGCCGUAGUGUUCUGUUGGGCUGGAUAUCUUUUGUGUACCGGUGAAAGGACUAAACGAUUCUUUCACAAUAUACUAGAGUUUGUACAGAUUUGUCCAAACUUGUGAGGAAUUGCAACGCUGCGCGAUGCAGAAACUACCAAAUGCUCAAUGAAUCGGCUGCUUCAUUGGCUAUAGGAAAGGGAUCACCCUGCAAACACGAUGGCAAAACAAGGAAAUGUUCAGGGCCAGAACUUCCAGAAAGUUCCACUUGUAAUUUGGAAGUUCUAUAAAAGUGUGUCUCGGUGUGACAACCUGAAGGGGUGUGAUCAGGAGGCAAAACUACGAACUGGGAGCUUGGCUAUGGAGAAACAGAGCUGGAUAUUGCGUUCUCAAUGUGAAUAGAAUGUCUCAGUGCUACUAUGUUAAGGGGUGCAAGGGCAUGAUGUUUCUAAUCUGAUGCAAUCUCAAUGUUUACUAAGUAUCUGUGUCUGAAUCUGCAUGUUUUGCUUGCUGCCUUGUAGGAGUCUCUCCCUUUCUUCUGUCAAAUUUGGAACGCCUGAUCAUGUGAAAAACUCUGGUUACUCUGUUUUCACGGAUUACUAUCUAACUGGAUCAAGAUUUUUUCGGGUGAAUUGGAGUGGCUUACUCAUCUGGCUAAAUCGAGCUAGGUGGCCUAGCUGGAUGUGAUACACAGGAUUUCCCAUCACGGAGAGAUUUCUGUACAACUGCAAGGGCGUGGCAGGAAGGUGGUAAAUACAACAAUGGCAUUGGCGCCUAGCAUGUUCCUCCACCUGAAGUAUUGGGUAUUUAGUAUUCAUGGGGCCUACAAUUAUUUUUCUCUGGUUUCUUUCCUUGCUGCCUCUCCCACCUUGGAGACACUCACACUCUCAAUCUACUGGUCUGGCUACCAUCCAUCGAUGAAUUGCUUUUUUGUGACCACUCACCUCCAAGGCACAUGCCAAGAUACCUGCAUGACAAGCUCCACCCGAGAGUGGACAUCUCUAGGUCUUCUGGUGCCAGAGAUGCGGAGUCAUCACGGUGCAGACGGGUAUGCCCAGAAGUUUUGAGAGCUUAACUGUCAGCAUUUUUUGGACGAACCUAGCGAGAGGACAGGGUGUUCCUGCAAUUUGUUAAGAAUAUAAAUAGAUUUGCGGGAGCUUAGCUAGUGUCGUUUCUUUCAGUAGGUUUGCAGCACCCUGCUGGUUCGUUGUGGAGCAGGCCGGGCGUUUAGCGUGUUGCUGUAGAAAUCCUGUACUGAAUCUCAUCAGACACGACCAGGAGUUGCAGUAGAAAGGAAUGAGGUCGUCGCUAUUGCCCCCUCAUAACUGGCAAUUUUCUCUUCCUUGAUAACUUUUGGAUUUGAUUUUGUCAUUAGCUGAG